GGAAUAUUGGACAAUGGGCGCAAGCCUGAUCCAGCCAUGCCGCGUGAGUGAUGACGGCCCUAGGGUUGUAAAGCUCUUUCACCGGUGAAGAUAAUGACGGUAACCGUAGAAGAAGCCCCGGCUAACUUCGUGCCAGCAGCCGCGGUAAUACGAAGGGGGCUAGCGUUGUUCGGAAUUACUGGGCGUAAAGCGCACGUAGGCGGACUGAUAAGUCAGGGGUGAAAUCCCGGGGCUUAACCCCGGAACUGCCUUUGAUACUGUCAGUCUUGAGGCCGAGAGAGGUGAGUGGAACUCCGAGUGUAGAGGUGAAAUUCGUAGAUAUUCGGAAGAACACCAGUGGCGAAGGCGGCUCACUGGCUCGGUACUGACGCUGAGGUGCGAAAGCGUGGGGAGCAAA
rnacentral:rRNA from 1 species